rnacentral:rRNA from 1 species
CGUCUAUAUACGUAUAGCAUAUCAAUAAGCGGAGGAAAAGAAACUAACAAGGAUUCCCUUAGUAACGGCGAGUGAAGCGGGAAGAGCUCAAAUUUGAAAUCUUCAAGGUUUUACCUUGACGAAUUGUAGUUUAAAGAAGUGUUUUCUGUUAGAGUUUGAGUAGCAAAGUUCUUUGGAAUAGGGACAUCAUAGAGGGUGAGAAUCCCGUAUUUGACCAUUAUUUUCUAGCUGUGUGAUACACUUUCAAAGAGUCGGAUUGUUUGGGAAUGCAGUCCAAAAUGGGUGGUAAAUUUCAUCUAAAGCUAAAUAUUGGCGAGAGACCGAUAGCGAACAAGUACCGUGAGGGAAAGAUGAAAAGAACUUUGAAAAGAGAGUUAAACAGUACGUGAAAUUGUCAAAAGGGAAGCGUUUGACACCAGUGUUGUUUUUCCGAAAAUCAAUUAAGAGUGGCUUGAUUUUGUGUUGUAUUGACCUUAUCAGCUUUCUUCACUCUUUUUCGAGUCUUUCUUAAUGCACUUUUCGGUUAACAAGUCAACAUCAAUUUCUUUUGUUGUAAAAGGGUAUUUGGAAGGUGGCUUUCUUUUCGGAGAAAGUGUUUAUAGCCUUAUACCUCUACAAUCGGAGAGAUUGAGGUCUGCAGCGUAGAUCCUUCGGGGCUAGAUACACUUGUGCUAAGUUAUAGCUUUUCAUAGACAACUUGUUGACUAUGUUUAGUCAUGUAGCUUACCCGCUUGUGCUAUUUUACCUACGCUUAGGAUGUUGAGUCAUCACACAUCUCU